UACGUAGGGAGCGAGCGUUGUCCGGAUUCAUUGGGCGUAAAGAGCUCGUAGGCGGCUUGGCAAGUCGGGUGUGAAAACUCCAGGCUCAACCUGGAGACGCCACCCGAUACUGCCAUGGCUAGAGUCCGGUAGGGGACCACGGAAUUCCUGGUGUAGCGGUGGAAUGCGCAGAUAUCAGGAGGAACACCGGUGGCGAAGGCGGGUCUCUGGGCAGUAACUGACGCUGAGGAGCGAAAGCGUGGGUAGCGAACAGG
rnacentral:rRNA from 1 species